CACCAGGAGUGGAGCCUGCGGCUU
rnacentral:ncRNA from 9 species